CAGAGCUACACAGAGCAACCCUGUCUCGAAAAAACAAAAAACAAAAGACAAGAAACCUUGAAGUCUAUGGAAAAUGUGGAGAGAAUGGAUUUUCAUAAUAUGCAGUGUCACUACCUCUUAAAUAUAUGUACACACAGUAGAAAAGAGUCCCCUGCCACUGUAAGACAGACUUUCACACUUCAACAUUCCAAAGCCUUCCUGACUGUGCAGAAGUGAAGUACUUUCCUAGUGGCUUAGUGCCUUAUGGUAUAAAUCUUUACAAUUGCUAGUGAACUUGCACAUUAUUGACCUUUUCCUGAAGAAAGACUGGGGGAAACUGUAACCAGUGUCUUGAAUAACCAUUUACACUUUGUUUUUCAGGUAGUCUGAUGGUGUUAUCUUUGCCAGGAUGCAGAGGGAAUCUGGACUCUUAACAAGGACUCCGGGCCUCUGUGGGCAGAAAUCCAGGCCUUGGCAUGGAGCGUGCGGAGCGCUCCGAGGUGUGGUGUGAACUGUUUGGGGCUCAGCUCAUCAGAGGAUGGACCUUCCUGCUGCCACACAGACCUUAAAAUUUCAUCUUGAAGUGACCUCUUUCUUCAACUGACCCACAAAACACAGAACACCACAACACCUAGACAUUGAAGAAAUCAUAGUAGAGAACAGUGAUCGCUUUCUAUGAUUUAAAGAAUUGUUUUUCUGAAGGAGUUUUUCAUCCAUUAAAAUGACUUUAGUCACAAGA